UUAACACAUGCAAGUCGAGGGGCAUCAGGAAGAAAGCUUGCUUUCUUUGCUGGCGACCGGCGCACGGGUGAGUAACACGUAUCCAACCUGCCCUUUACUCGGGGAUAGCCUUUCGAAAGAAAGAUUAAUACCGGAUGGCAUAGUUUUCCCGCAUGGGUUUUAUAUUAAAGAAAUUCGGUAUGAGAUGGGGAUGCGUUCCAUUAGUUUGUUGGCGGGGUAACGGCCCACCAAGACUACGAUGGAUAGGGGUUCUGAGAGGAAGGUCCCCACAUUGGAACUGAGACACGGUCCAAACUCC
rnacentral:rRNA from 1 species